rnacentral:rRNA from 1 species
AAAUUGAAGAGUUUGAUCAUGGCUCAGAUUGAACGCUGGCGGCAGGCCUAACACAUGCAAGUCGAACGGUAACAGGAAGCAGCUUGCUGCUUUGCUGACGAGUGGCGGACGGGUGAGUAAGGUCUGGGAAACUGCCUGAUGGAGGGGGAUAACUACUGGAAACGGUGGCUAAUACCGCAUAAUGUCGCAAGACCAAAGAGGGGGACCUUCGGGCCUCUUGCCAUCAGAUGUGCCCAGAUGGGAUUAGCUUGUUGGUGAGGUAACGGCUCACCAAGGCGACGAUCCCUAGCUGGUCUGAGAGGAUGACCAGCCACACUGGAACUGAGACACGGUCCAGACUCCUACGGGAGGCAGCAGUGGGGAAUAUUGCACAAUGGGCGCAAGCCUGAUGCAGCCAUGCCGCGUGUAUGAAGAAGGCCUUCGGGUUGUAAAGUACUUUCAGCGGGGAGGAAGGUGUUGUGGUUAAUAACCACAGCAAUUGACGUUACCCGCAGAAGAAGCACCGGCUAACUCCGUGCCAGCAGCCGCGGUAAUACGGAGGGUGCAAGCGUUAAUCGGAAUUACUGGGCGUAAAGCGCACGCAGGCGGUCUGUCAAGUCGGAUGUGAAAUCCCCGGGCUCAACCUGGGAACUGCAUUCGAAACUGGCAGGCUUGAGUCUUGUAGAGGGGGGUAGAAUUCCAGGUGUAGCGGUGAAAUGCGUAGAGAUCUGGAGGAAUACCGGUGGCGAAGGCGGCCCCCUGGACAAAGACUGACGCUCAGGUGCGAAAGCGUGGGGAGCAAACAGGAUUAGAUACCCUGGUAGUCCACGCCGUAAACGAUGUCUACUUGGAGGUUGUGCCCUUGAGGCGUGGCUUCCGGAGCUAACGCGUUAAGUAGACCGCCUGGGGAGUACGGCCGCAAGGUUAAAACUCAAAUGAAUUGACGGGGGCCCGCACAAGCGGUGGAGCAUGUGGUUUAAUUCGAUGCAACGCGAAGAACCUUACCUGGUCUUGACAUCCACAGAACUUUCCAGAGAUGGAUUGGUGC